rnacentral:tmRNA from 1 species
GGGGCUGCACGGCUUCGACGGGGAGGGACGAUCACAAGUGGCAAGCGGUGGAGUCUGACCACCAUAAAACGGACAAAAGUUUAGUUGCGAACACUCGCACAAACUUGGCGGCAUUGCCGCUCGCUGCCUAAACGGCAGUUAGCAAAUGCUAACAAGUCCGCAGUUAAAUCUGCGGCGUCCACAUACGGGCUUCCCCAAAGCGCGUAUGCCGGGCGUCACCAAGUUGGGGUAUCUCACCACAACGCCGAUAGUGAGUGACGAAGACAUGUAACCAUGUCAAUCGGCUUCGGCGCAAGCAACUCUGACAGUCGAGUCCGUUUGCGCAAGUAAGAUGCGCUUCCCGUGCAAACGGGUCGCCCAUCACCUAAAGACUGGCUAAGCUUGUAGUCACUUGUUUUCCAACUCUUCGGACGCGAGUUCAAUUCUCGCCAGCUCCACUC